rnacentral:sRNA from 1 species
GCUGGGUGUAGUGGCACACCCGCCGUCCCAGAUUCUCAGGAGACUGAGGCAGGAGGAUCGCUUGAGUCUAGGAAUUAGAGACCAGCCUGGGUAACAGAGAGAGAUCCCAUCUCUU